UACGAAGGGGGCUAGCGUUGUUCGGAUUUACUGGGCGUAAGGCGCACGUAGGCGGAUCGAUCAGUCAGGGGUGAAAUCCCAGAGCUCAACUCUGGAACUGCCUUUGAUACUGUCGAUCUGGAGUAUGGAAGAGGUGAGUGGAAUUCCGAGUGUAGAGGUGAAAUUCGUAGAUAUUCGGAGGAACACCAGUGGCGAAGGCGGCUCACUGGUCCAUUACUGACGCUGAGGUGCGAAAGCGUGGGGAGCAAACAGG
rnacentral:rRNA from 1 species